UACAGAGGGGGCUAGCGUUAUUCGGAAUUAUUGGGCGUAAAGGGCGCGUAGGCGGCCACGCGUGUCUUUCGUGAAAUCCCUCGGCUUAACUGAGGACGUGCGGAAGAAACUGCAAGGCUCGAGUCCGGGAGAGGGGGGUGGAAUUCCCAGUGUAGCGGUGAAAUGCGUAGAUAUUGGGAGGAACACCGGUGGCGAAGGCGGCCCCCUGGACCGGUACUGGACGCUGAGGCGCGAAAGCGUGGGUAGCAAACGGG
rnacentral:rRNA from 1 species